GAGGGCAAGUCUGGUGCCAGCAGCCGCGGUAAUUCCAGCUCCAAUAGCGUACGUUAAAAGUUGCUGCAGUUAAAAAAGCUCGUAGUUGAACGUUCGGGUUCCGCGGGACGGGGCCGCCCCGCGAGGGACGGCGCCGCCCCGGGGCUCGUGAUAUCUCAUCUCGCCGCCCGUCGCGAGGCGGACGGAGGGGAUGGAUGAGGUUACCUGGAAAAAAUCGGGGCGAUCUAGGCGGGCGAACCUCGCCAACGAACGAUCGGACAUGGGAUAACGGAAGAGGGCGUCGGCUCGACUUCGUCGGUUCCUCGGGGCCGAGGCACGUACGGUGAAUAGGGGACGGUCGGGGCCGCCCGUACGGGUCGUGAGAGGUGAAAUUCUAGGAUCGACCCGAGACGAACCGCCGCGAAAGCAUUCGGCAAGGACGCUUUCAUUAAUCAAGACGAAAGUCGGGGAUCGAAGACGAUCAGAUACCGUCGUAGUCCCGACCGUAAACGAU
rnacentral:rRNA from 1 species